rnacentral:snoRNA from 1 species
UGUUAUGAUAAUCCUAUCCCGAACCUGAAUUUCUGUUGAAAGAACUUAACUAUGGAUUUGGCUUCUGAGAC